rnacentral:rRNA from 1 species
AGCUCCAAUAGCGUAUCUUAAUGUUGUUGCAGUUAAAAAGCUCGUAGUCGAAUAUCUGACCGGGAAAACCGCACUUCGUGGGGAACUUUCCUAGGUCAUCCGCCUGAAAAAUUAGUGGUUUUUCAUCGCUCUACUUAUGGAUCAGGCACUUUACUUUGAAGAAAUUAGAGUGUUUCAGGCAGGCUAUCGCUUGAAUACACCAGCAUGGAAUAAUGGAAUAGGACUUUCAUCAGUUACUGGUUAAUGAUGUUUGUAAUGAUUAAUAGGGACAGUUGGGGGCAUUCGUACUUGACAGUCAGAGGUGAAAUUCUUCGAUUUGUCAAAGACGAACUAAUGCGAAGGCAUCUGCCAAGGAUGUUU